rnacentral:rRNA from 1 species
AUUGAACGCUGGCGGAAUGCUUUACACAUGCAAGUCGAACGGCAGCACGGACUUCGGUCUGGUGGCGAGUGGCGAACGGGUGAGUAAUGUAUCGGAACGUGCCCAGUCGUGGGGGAUAACGUAGUGAAAAUUACGCUAAUACCGCAUACGAACGAUGGAUGAAAGCGGGGGAUCGCAAGACCUCGCGCGAUUGUAGCGGCCGAUAUCGGAUUAGGUAGUUGGUGGGGUAAAGGCCCACCAAGCCAACGAUCUGUAGCUGGUCUGAGAGGACGACCAGCCACACUGGAACUGAGACACGGUCCAGACUCCUACGGGAGGCAGCAGUGGGGAAUUUUGGACAAUGGGCGAAAGCCUGAUCCAGCCAUUCCGCGUGCAGGAUGAAGGCCCUCGGGUUGUAAACUGCUUUUGUACAGAACGAAAAGGUUUCUACUAAUACUAGGAGCUCAUGACGGUACUGUAAGAAUAAGCACCGGCUAACUACGUGCCAGCCGCCGCAGUAA